rnacentral:rRNA from 1 species
ACAAUUGCCAUGCUCAGUAGCGGCGAGUGAGCGGCAGAGCUCAGAUUUGAAAUCGCCUCGGCGAGUUGUAAAUUGCAGGUUGGAGUCUUUGUGGCGGCGUGUGUCUAAGUCCCUUGGAACAGGGCGCCAUUGAGGGUGAGAGCCCCGUGCGGCACGCGUCUAAGCUUUAAGACCCUUCUGACGAGUCGAGUUGUUUGGGAAUGCAGCUCUAAGUGGGUGGUAAAUUCCAUCUAAGGCUAAAUACUGGCGAGAGACCGAUAGCGAACAAGUACUGUGAAGGAAAGAUGAAAAGCACUUUGAAAAGAGAGUGAAACAGCACGUGAAAUUGUUGAAAGGGAAGGGUAUUGGGCUCGACAUGGGGACUGCGCACCGUUGCUUCUUGUAGGCGGCGCUCUGUGCGGUUUCUGGGCCAGCAUCAGUUUUUGCCGCGGGAGAAUGGGGGGAGGAACGUGGCUCUUCGGAGUGUUAUAGCCUCUCUCAGAUGCCGCGAGCGGGGACUGAGGUCUGCGAUCGUCAAGGAUGCGCACUUGGUCUUUC